GAUGAAAUUGAAUAAACUCGCUCAAUGUUUUUGUUUGAUAUCUUUGCGAAAUAAAAUUAAUGGUUUACACACAAACUUCCGUGUUUCGUGAAUUAUUUCGAGGAUUUUAGACGAAAAUAAUUUUAAUUAGAUUUUUUACGCAUUGGGAUGCAUUCAAUAUCCUCUUUUGUGGCUUGUGUAUUGAUGUUUUCAUACUUAACACACGGACAAAGCUACACAUAUUAUACAGUCUACUCUCGUUAUCUUGACAUCACACAUCUCGAUUUUCUCGAUACGUCGAGGUUAUCUCAUGUGCAGCAACUCCUCCAUGAAUUGGACAGACGCAUUGAUUUCCUGUCACGAUGCAGGUGGUUUGCCUUUAACUAAAGAAACACCCGUACUGGAACGAUUUCAACUUUCAAAUACCUCGUUUUGGACAGCAGACUAUAUUGCGAAAGACUACGUUCAAGAUAAUUAUGCUGGUGGUCAACUGAUUGUGUGUUCCUUCAAGAUAUUAAGCCUAUCGGCUGGUUGGAGCGGUGAACUCAAAAACAAUUGCUUCUUCAACCGUAAAUACAGCUGCUGUGAUAAACCCGAUACGUGUGACAAUUCGACAUGUGUAAAAACAGGACAAUGGCUUGAUGCUAUAUCUUGUAAUACUUCUAACACAGAGGCGUGUUUGAAGAACGCGACAAAAUUUUUAACACCCGGAGAUUAUUGGAUAAGAAAGGCGCUGGCUCUCUUGAACCGAACGUAUAACGGUGAACAAAGUCUUCGACCAAGUAAAUGCGGUAGUUUUAAAGAUGGCGUAUACAGUGUCGGAAUAUUCAACUGCACAGACAAACUGAUAUAAGCUUGUUACUUUAAUUCUACCAGUGAAGAAAGCAAAGUAUCAGCUCAAUACACACAUUGCGAUUUAAUGCUGCCAAAUCCGCCAAAUAUUCGUCAUGGGCUACACCAGGAAUCCCCUCUAGGAAUCGGCCUCGGAGUCGGGAUUGGCGUUCUUGUUUUAGUUAUUCUAAUCUUAGCAGUCAUUAUAUACUUAAG